GCAGCUCUAAAUGGGAGGUAAAUUUCUUCUAAAGCUAAAUACUGGCCAGAGACCGAUAGCGCACAAGUAGAGUGAUCGAAAGAUGAAAAGCACUUUGGAAAGAGAGUCAAAUAGCACGUGAAAUUGUUGAAAGGGAAGCGCUUGCAGCCAGACUUGCCUGUAGUUGCUCAUCCGGGCUUUUGCCCGGUGCAUUCUUCUAUAGGCAGGCCAGCAUCAGUUUGGGCGGUUGGAUAAAGGCCUCUGUCAUGUACCUCCUUUCGGGGAGGCCUUAUAGGGGAGGCGACAUGCAACCAGCCUGGACUGAGGUCCGCGCAUCUGCUAGGAUGCUGGCGUAAUGGCUGUAAGCGGCCCGUCUUGAAACACGGACCAAGGAGUCUAACAUCUAUGCGAGUGUUUGGGUGUCAAGCCCGAGCGCGCAAUGAAAGUGAACGGAGGUGGGAUCCCUUAAGGGUGCACCAUCGACCGAUCCUGAUGUCUUCGGAUGGAUUUGAGUAAGAGCAUGGCUGUUGGGACCCGAAAGAUGGUGAACUAUGCUUGAAUAGGGUGAAGCCAGAGGAAACUCUGGUGGAGGCUCGCAGCGGUUCUGACGUGCAAAUCGAUCGUCAAAUUUGGGCAUAGGGGCGAAAGACUAAU
rnacentral:misc_RNA from 1 species